UGCUGGUUUAAAUGAUUACUUC
rnacentral:siRNA from 1 species